rnacentral:tRNA from 1 species
GGGAGGGAUGGUGUAAUGGUAAAACACUUGGUGUGACUACUAGCGAUAGCGGGUUCGAAUCCCGCUCCUCCCA